UUUGUGCAGCAAAACUAAAUAUCUAUUGUCCCCUACUCUCAAGAAAUUUCUGCAAUAAGCUACAUGUGAAACUUCCUCCUUAUCCUAGUUGAUUCUCCACUCCAUGAACUGUUUUUAUAAAGCAGCACAAAACCAAUAAAAGGCUUGUGAAUCAAAACCCAAUAUCUACGGUCCAGUACUAUCAAAAGAUUUCUGCAAUACACUACAUGUGAAACUUCCUCCUCAUCCUAUAUUUGAUUCUCCAUUCCAUGAACUGUUUUUAUAAAGCAUCACAAAACCAAUAAAAAGGUUUGUGCAUCAAAACCCAAUAUCUACUGUCGACUACUAUCAAAAAAUUUCUGCAAUAUGCUGCACUUCAAACUUCCCUCUCCAUUAUAUGAUUCUCCGCUCCAUGAACUCUUUUUAUGAAGCAGCGCAAAUCUGAUUCGGAAGAUUUCUGCAAUACGCUACUUCAAACUUCCCACUCCAUUAUAUGAUUCUCCACUCCAUGAUCUGUUUAUAUGAAGGGGCACAAAACCAAUAAAAAGGUUUGUGCAUCAAAAUCCAAUAUCUAGUGUCCACUACAAUCAAAAG